AGGACGAACGCUGGCGGCGUGCUUAACACAUGCAAGUCGAGCGGAAAGGCCCUUCGGGGUACUCGAGCGGCGAACGGGUGAGUAACACGUGAGUAACCUGCCCCUAGCUCUGGGAUAGCUCCGGGAAACCGGGAUUAAUACCAGAUACGACCACUUUAGACAUCUGUCGUGGUGGAAAGGAUUCCGGCUAGGGAUGGGCUCGCGGCCUAUCAGCUUGUUGGUGGGGUAACGGCCUACCAAGGCGACGACGGGUAGCCGGCCUGAGAGGGCGACGGCCACGACUGGGACUGAGACACGGCCCAGACUCCUACGGGAGGCAGCAGUGGGAAUAUUGCGCAAUGGGCGAAAGCCUGACGCAGCGACGCCGCGUGGGGGAUGAAGGCCUUCGGGUUGUAAACCCCUUUCAGCAGGGACGAAGCGAAAGUGACGGUACCUGCAGAAGAAGCGCCGGCUAACUACGUGCCAGCAGCCGC
rnacentral:rRNA from 1 species